UUUCCGUUGGUGAACCAGCGGAGGGACCAUUACCGAGUUUACAACUCCCAAACCCAAUGUGAACCAUACCAAACUGUUGCCUCGGCGGGGUCACGCCCCGGGUGCGUCGCAGCCCCGGAACCAGGCGCCCGCCGGAGGGACCAACCAAACUCUUUCUGUAGUCCCCUCGCGGACGUUAUUUUUACAGCUCUGAGCAAAAAUUCAAAAUGAAUCAAAACUUUCAACAACGGAUCUCUUGGUUCUG
rnacentral:misc_RNA from 1 species